rnacentral:rRNA from 1 species
UGCAGUCGAGCGGAUGAGUGGAGCUUGCUCCAUGAUUCAGCGGCGGACGGGUGAGUAAUGCCUAGGAAUCUGCCUGGUAGUGGGGGACAACGUUUCGAAAGGAACGCUAAUACCGCAUACGUCCUACGGGAGAAAGCAGGGGACCUUCGGGCCUUGCGCUAUCAGAUGAGCCUAGGUCGGAUUAGCUAGUUGGUGAGGUAAAGGCUCACCAAGGCGACGAUCCGUAACUGGUCUGAGAGGAUGAUCAGUCACACUGGAACUGAGACACGGUCCAGACUCCUACGGGAGGCAGCAGUGGGGAAUAUUGGACAAUGGGCGAAAGCCUGAUCCAGCCAUGCCGCGUGUGUGAAGAAGGUCUUCGGAUUGUAAAGCACUUUAAGUUGGGAGGAAGGGCAGUAAGUUAAUACCUUGCUGUUUUGACGUUACCGACAGAAUAAGCACCGGCUAACUUCGUGCCAGCAGCCGCGGUAAUACGAAGGGUGCAAGCGUUAAUCGGAAUUACUGGGCGUAAAGCGCGCGUAGGUGGUUCAGCAAGUUGGAUGUGAAAGCCCCGGGCUCAACCUGGGAACUGCAUCCAAAACUACUGAGCUAGAGUACGGUAGAGGGUGGUGGAAUUUCCUGUGUAGCGGUGAAAUGCGUAGAUAUAGGAAGGAACACCAGUGGCGAAGGCGACCACCUGGACUGAUACUGACACUGAGGUGCGAAAGCGUGGGGAGCAAACAGGA